rnacentral:rRNA from 1 species
GACAGAGGUGCCAAGCGUUAGGCGGAAUCACUGGGCUUAAAGCGUGUGUAGGCGGAUCGUUAAGUACCUUGUGAAAUCCCACGGCUCAACCGUGGAACUGCUGGGUAUACUGGCGAUCUUGAGCCACCUAGGGGCGAGCGGAACAAGCGGUGGAGCGGUGAAAUGCGUAGAUAUCGCUUGGAACGCCAAUGGUGAAAACAGCUCGCUGGGGGUGUGCUGACGCUGAGACACGAAGCCAGGGAGCGAACGGG